rnacentral:ncRNA from 1 species
UACCGGCUGGUGGGAGAGUGUUGCCGGGGCUUAAUUCGCCCGGGCAGCCGCCGAAGGGGCAAAACCUUUUAAACCAGGUUGAAACUCUCAGGCAAAAGGACCGCCAUAACCGG